UCAAGAUUUUGUGGAAGGAGCAAGUGGAAGGAGGAAGCGCAAGCAAAGUCAUAUUGGUUCUGCUAUUGAGGAUUAUGUGCAGUAUAAGAAGAAGCAGACAGGCAAAACCAUCGAAGCUCUCGAAGAAAGGAAGAAAAAAGAAGAAGCAUUUUCAGUCCCCAAGUGUCUCGAUGAAAUGGACGCAAUGGAUGGACUUACUGAUGUGGAGAAGUCAUAUGGUAUGGAUAUCUUCAAAUUUGAGAUAGACAGGGAGGAUGAACAUGAAAAACAAAAAUGUUCGAUUUAUUUGGCUCAAGUGCCAGAUUAGUGCUCUUGGUGGAGGCAAUGUUUGAAUUGAGAUGAAAAAUACAGGUACAGUCAUUGUAUGCAGGACUCUUGAUGGAAGCAAUGGUGGAUAUCUAGAUGGAAGCAAUGUUUUUCCUUUCUUUUCUCGAACACUACCCAUGAAAAGGAGUUAAACUAUAAUUUGUUUUUUGAUUAUAUGUCUUGGAUAGAUGAAGAUUAUUUAUGAUUUGGCGAAGAAUGGAUUAGCUAAGUUGAAUUUGCCACUCGAAUUAAAUUUUCCAUGUAUUGUACUAUGUCAAAUAAUUAUGGUCUUGUGAUUUUCCAUGUAUCAUGUCCAUGAAAAUGUU